GGAUGAAGAACGCAGCGAAAUGCGAUACGUAAUGUGAAUUGCAGAAUUCAGUGAAUCAUCGAGUCUUUGAACGCACAUUGCGCCCCCUGGUAUUCCGGGGGGCAUGCCUGUCCGAGCGUCAUUGCUGCCCUCAAGCACGGCUUGUGUGUUGGGCCCCGUCCUCCGAUCCCGGGGGACGGGCCCGAAAGGCAGCGGCGGCACCGCGUCCGGUCCUCGAGCGUAUGGGGCUUUGUCACCCGCUCUGUAGGCCCGGCCGGCGCUUGCCGAUCAACCCAAAUUUUUAUCCAGGUUGACCUCGGAUCAGGUAGGGAUACCCGCUGAACUUAAGCAUAUCAAUAAGCGGAGGA
rnacentral:misc_RNA from 1 species